rnacentral:misc_RNA from 1 species
AGCACACCCACCUCAGCCAGUCCU